rnacentral:rRNA from 1 species
UACGAAGGGAGCUAGCGUUGUUCGGAAUCACUGGGCGUAAAGCGCACGUAGGCGGAUGUGUCAGUCAGGGGUGAAAUCCCGGGGCUCAACCUCGGAACUGCCUUUGAUACUGCAAGUCUCGAGUCCGAUAGAGGUGAGUGGAAUUCCUAGUGUAAAGGUGAAAUUCGUAGAUAUUAGGAAGAACACCAGUGGCGAAGGCGGCUCACUGGAUCGGUACUGACGCUGAGGUGCGAAAGCGUGGGGAGCAAACAGG